rnacentral:rRNA from 1 species
GAUGAACGCUAGCGGGAGGCCUAACACAUGCAAGCCGAGCGGUAUUGUUUCUUCGGAAAUGAGAGAGCGGCGUACGGGUGCGUAACACGUGUGCAACCUGCCUUUAUCUGGGGGAUAGCCUUUCGAAAGGAAGAUUAAUACUCCAUAAUAUAUUGAACGGCAUCGUUUAAUAUUGAAAGCUCCGGCGGAUAGAGAUGGGCACGCGCAAGAUUAGCUUGUUGGUGAGGUAACGGCUCACCAAGGCGAUGAUCUUUAGGGGGCCUGAGAGGGUGAUCCACCAAACUGGUACUGAGACACGGACCAGACUCCUACGGGAGGCAGCAGUGAGGAAUAUUGGUCAAUGGGCGCAAGCCUGAACCAGCCAUCCCGCGUGAAGGACGACUGCCCUAUGGGCUGUAAACUUCUUAUGUAUAGCGAUAAACCUACCCUCGUGAGGGUAGCUGAAGGUACUAUACGAAUAAGCACCGGCUAACUCCGUGCCAGCCGCCGCAGUAA